rnacentral:rRNA from 1 species
UACGUAGGCAGCAAGCGUUGUUCGGAGUUACUGGGCGUAAAGGGUGCGUAGGUGGCUCUAUAAGUAUGGUGUGAAAUCUCCCGGCUUAACUGGGAGGGUGCGCCGUAGACUGUGGGGCUAGAGUGUGGGAGAGGAAAGUGGAAUUCCUGGUGUAGCGGUGAAAUGCGCAGAUAUCAGGAAGAACACCUAUGGCGAAGGCAGCUCUCUGGGACGGUACUGACGCUGAGACGCGAAAGCGUGGGGAGCGAACAGG